AUAGUAUCAAUAAUAUCAAGCCUUUAAUAUUAUUGAAAUUUUCGCCGUUAGAGUUACCCCUCUAAUAUUUUUUAUCUGCUAGAGAAUAACUAUCAUUCUAACUGUAUAUCUAUUCGUCCAAAAGUCGAAAACCUAAUAACACCAAGCGCAAUUGGCUUGGUUCUAUUAAUAGUAUAAUAUGCUAAUUCAUAUAUAUAUAUAUAUAU
rnacentral:lncRNA from 1 species